UACGUGGGGUCCGAGCGUUGUCCGGAAUUAUUGGGCGUAAAGGGCUCGUAGGCGGUUUGUCGCGUCGGGAGUGAAAACACGGGGCUUAACCCCGUGCCUGCUUCCGAUACGGGCAGACUAGAGGUAUGCAGGGGAGAACGGAAUUCCUGGUGUAGCGGUGAAAUGCGCAGAUAUCAGGAGGAACACCGGUGGCGAAGGCGGUUCUCUGGGCAUUACCUGACGCUGAGGAGCGAAAGUGUGGGGAGCGAACAGG
rnacentral:rRNA from 1 species